UUGAAAUGUUGCUGAGAGCUCAACUGGAAUCUAAAAGUCCUUCACCAAGAGCAUCUCUCUCCUCUUCCAUAGUAUCAACUACUACCUCAUCAACAGCCAGAGCCACCCCAUCGAAGGCCUUGCCUUCACACACCUGCUGAAGGGUGCCCUUCUCUUCAUCACCGUCGCUCUGAUCGGCUCAGGUUGGGCCUUCAUCAAGUAUGUCCUGUCGGAUAAGGAGAAGAAGGUCUUUAGGAUCAUGAUCCCCAUGCAGGUCCUGGCCAACGUGGCCUACAUCGGCAUCGAGUCCCGCGAGGAGGGCGCCAGUGACUAUGUGCUGUGGAAGGAGAUUUUGUUCCUGAUGGAUCUCAUCUGCUGCAGCGCCAUCCUGUUUCCCGUAGUCUGGUCCAUCUGGCAUCUCCAGGACACGUCUGGCACAGACGGGAAGGUGGCCGUGAACCUGGCCAAGCUGAAGCUGUUCCAGCAUUACUAUGUCACAGUCAUCUGCUACAUCUACUUCACCCGCAUCAUCGCCAUCCUGUAGCAGGUGGCUGUCCCCUUUCAGUGGCAGUGGCUGUACCAGCUCUUGGUGGAGGGCUCCACCCUGGCCUUCUUCAUGCUCACGGGCUACAAGUUCCAGCCCACAGGGACAACCCAUCCCUGCAGCUGCCCCAGGAGGACGAGGAGGAUGUUCAGAUGGAACAAGUAAUGACCGACUCUGGGUUCGGGGAAGGCCUCUCCAAAGUCAACAAAACAGCCAGCGGGCGGGAACUAUUAUGAUCACCUCCACAUCUCAAACCAAAGGAUCCUUCUCCCCCAGCAUUUCUCACUCCUGCCCUUCUUCCAAAGUGUAUGUGGGGAGGUGGAGGGGGUCCAUGUGGACCAGGCGCCCAGCUCCCCGGGAACCCGGUUCCCGGACAAGCCCAUUUGGAAGAAGAGUCCCUUCCUCCCCCCAAAUAUUGGGCAGCCCUGUCCUCACUCCAGGACCACCCCUCCCUUCCAGCUAUAUGUACAAUAAUGACCAAUCUGUUUGGCUAAAAA